GUUUCCGCGGUCAUGGCGGAGGGGAAACACCCGGUCCCAUUCCGAACCCGGUAGUUAAGCCCUCCUGCGCCGAUGGUACUGCACUGGUGACGGUGUGGGAGAGUAGGUCACCGCGGGACA
rnacentral:rRNA from 1 species